UGCCAUGGGGACGCCUGGGGUCGUACCUGACGGCUGUCGUGAAGCAGCGGGAGGAAAGCGAGGGAGGAAGAAGGGGGGAGUGCAGGCCCAGCCCGGCCCCCGGCCCGCGGGGAGUUGGCUCCGCGCCGCGCCCCUCCGCCCUCGCCGCAUCGCAGUCGGAGUCGGGAGGAGGAGGAGGCGGCGCUGCCGCCUCUGGCUAUGUAGGGGCCCCGGAGCGGGCAGAUCCGGAGGCCGCUGUCCGCCACUGGAGCGCGGCGCCGGGCCCGGCGGGAUGUUCUCCAAGAAGCCGCACGGGGACGUGCGGAAAUCCACGCAGAAGGUGCUGGACACCCGCAAGGAUCCGCUCACCCGACUUAAGCACCUACGCGUCCUCAUCGAGAAUGCAGAAUCAAUUGAUCUCAAACAGUUUUUCGACCUACAUUUUUCACAUAUAUAUUAUGUGUUCUUUGAAAAUUUUGUGACUAUUGAAGUAGGCCUUAAACAAAAAGGUCACAAGUCUCAGAGAGAAGAAUUAGAUUCUAUUCUUUUUAUUUUUGAGAAAAUUUUACAACUCCUUCCUGAAAGGAUUCAUCAGAGAUGGCAAUUUCAUAGUAUUGGGUUGAUUUUAAAGAAGCUUCUUCACACUGGAAAUUCAUUAAAGAUACGUCGAGAGGGUGUGCGUCUCUUUCUUUUGUGGCUGCAAGCACUUCAAAAUAACUGUAGUAAAGAACAAUUAUGGAUGUUUUCUUGCUUGAUACCUGGAUUUUCAUCACCACAGUCUGAAUAUGGCCCCCGAACACUAGAUAAUCUCAUUAACCCUCCCCUUAAUGUUCAAGAAACUCAAGUGACUAUAGAAGAAAUCACUCCACUUGUUCCUCCACAAUCAGGAGAUAAAGGACAAGAAGAUUUAACAAGCUAUUUUUUAGAAGCACUUUUGAAAUACAUGGUAAUUCAGGUUAAGAGUUUAGAAUGGAAGAACAAGGAAAACCAGGAAAAGGGAUUUUCAUUUUUAUUCUCAAAUUUUAAGAAAUACUACUUACCUUCUAUUUUCCCAAACAUCUGUAAGGAGACCAGCUUGUAUAACCCUAUACUUGAUAUACCACAAAUGAGACCAAAGCCACACUAUGUAAUAGUUAAGAAAGAUGCUGAAACCAAUGAGGCAAUAUAUUGCACAAAGGAACCUUUCAUUAAGGCUCGUGUUAUCGUCAUUCGAUGGUUGGUGUCUUUCUGGCUUGAGCCAAAACCUCAUACAGGACCUCAUAUUCCUGGGAUGGAAGGUGAAAAUGUGCCAAAGAAUAUUCAGAGAGCAGCUGCUAGCAUGGCUUCAAGGGAGGACAGCAAAAAUGACAGUACUGAUAAGCAGGAUAGAAAUGCAGAACCAGAACAAUCUCAUUCUAAUACAAGUACUCUAACAGAGAGGGAACCAAGUUCUUCCAGCCUCUGCAGUAUUGAUGAAGAGCACUUAACUGAUAUUGAAAUCGUCCGGAAAGCUUUUUCUUCUAAAAGAAGCAAUGUUAAUUUUCUAACUGAGAUUUUCCGACAGGCGUUUCUGUUGCCAAUAUGUGAAGCAGCUGCCAUGAGGAAGGUGGUGAAGGUGUAUCAGGAAUGGAUUCAACAAGAAGACAAACCUUUAUUUAUGAAGGAACCUGAGGAAAUAAUGCAGUGCACAACUGUAGAUUGUGCUGAAAAUGUUGACCAUAAUUCAUCAGAGAAAGGAAAAGAAAGAGAAGAGGAAAAAGGGAUGAACUCCAGUCAUGUUAGAAAUUCAAACUGGACAAGAAAUGGCUGUUAUGAAGACACUUUGCAUAAGACAUCUGAAAUUGAUGCUGAAGAGCAAAAUGUACAAGCUGGAGUGCAGUCAGUAUUGCAGGUUUUUAUAAUAAAUUCUUCAAAUAUAUUCUUUCUUGAACCUGCAAAUGAAUUUAAAGCUCUGCUGGAUGAACACACUGAUAUGUGCAAACGCAUUCUUAAUAUCUAUCGCCACAUGGUAGUCCAAGUGACUAUGGACAAGAAGACAUGGGAGCAGAUGCUACUCGUGCUGCUCAGAGUAACUGAAUCUGUGCUGAAAAUUCCACCCCAAACUUUCUUGCAGUAUCAAGGAAGAAAAAACUCCACUUUAGCUGGAAGACUUGCAGGACCUCUUUUCCAGACUCUGAUAGURGCUUGGAUCAAAGCAAAUCUAAAUGUGUACAUUUCUCGAGAACUUUGGGAUGACUUGCUGUCUGUGAUGUCAUCACUGACAUAUUGGGAAGAGCUGGCCACUGAGUGGUCUCUGACAAUGGAGACRCUUACUAAAGUAUUAGCUAGAAACCUCUAUAGCCUGGACCUCAGUGACCUGCCAUUGGAUAAAUUAAGUGAGCAGAAGCAGAAAAAACACAAAGGCAAAGGAGUUGGGCAUGAAUUCCCAAAGGCUUCUGUUGAUAAGUCCUUUUCYAGAGGCUGGAGCCGUGAUCAGCCUGGACAAGCACCAAUGAGACAACGCAGUGCUACAACCACUGGCUCUCCAGGAACAGAAAAGGCAAGAAGCAUAGUACGGCAGAAAACAGUUGACAUUGACGAUGCUCAAAUUCUUCCACGUCCACCUCGAGUCAGACAUUUUUCUCAGAGUGAGGAUGCUCCAAGUGAAGUUUUUGGUGCAUUAAAUGAGGAACAGCCACUUCCACGAAGCAGCAGCACCUCUGACAUCCUGGAGCCAUUCGCAGUUGAACGAGCCAAAGGUGCAGUUCCUGUCAUUGACAGUUCAUCCCAUCAUGCUCCAAGCUUGCAGAGUUCCACUGAGACCUCUUCAAUGCAUAGAUCCACUGAAAGCCAUAUCACUGAUACAAGUAGCAGAGAGUCCUCCUUGGAAGUUGGGGAUAGUAUUUAUGACCAUCUUUGUCAUUUAAUAGGGCCAGUAGAAUUUGCAAACACUGCCUUUGAACARAGCCAGUAUGUUGACCUUGAAGGUGAAGAUGAUCUCCUUUCUUCUCUGAGAGAAUAUCUUAUUAAAGAAAAAGAAGAACUUUGCGGUAACUUUGAGAUAGAUAAAUGUGAGGCUUCUGCUCAUGAAGUUGAUACAUCAGUAAGUAGGAACAAUAGAUURCCACUGGAUGGAUUAGAAAAUAGAGAUCAGACUGAUCAAUGUGUGACUAGCAUCGCUGUUACAGAAAGAGCCGAUACCACAGAGCUGCACCUAGAACAAAACCCAAGUGGCUUUAUAAGUAAUAUUGCACCUACUCAAGUAGACUUUUUUACAAGAAAUCAAGCACUCAAUAAAUCCAGACAGUUAGAUAUUGAUAAACAAUAUGAAAGCGUGUUUGAUCAUGGGUCAAGUAAUCCUAGCAGCAAAGAAGGGAAGAGAUAUCUGUACAGGCAAGCAGCCACUGAAGCGGAUGUAGAUUUAGCUGUGGAAGCAGCAGUAGCUGAAAAGCAUAAAAGUGCCCAGUUUAAUGAAAAAGUGACCAGCUCACGURUUGUCCAUGCAAAGAAAAUUCUUCCUAAAGCGCAAGUUGAUCCUCAAAUGCCUCACAUCACAGGCACAAGCAAACUGGCACCAACUAAAAGAAGUAUAUCUGAAACAGUAACUCAUAGGGCCAAAAUAAUGAAAAUUACAGCUAGAAAAAGAAACAGCGUUCAUGUUACUUUUAGGCCAUCUACAGAAUCUGUUCAGUUUUACAAUCCUCUUGAGAACAAAGAGGCUGCUUGGAAAGCAAGACUUCGUAAACUCGGUGGCUUCAGUAGCAGCAGUAGUGGUAGCAGCAAUAUCAGUGCCAGUGCAAGCACUAGCUCAUCAGCUGCCACAGAGUUGGUUAGACCUGGAAUAUAUAGACAUCUAGAUGCAAUCAAUGCUGCUUCUGCUGGCAGCAAGCAAGUUAAGGAAUCUUCAGAAACUCAAGCAGCUGUGUUGCAGAAAGAAGGUAUUGCGGUUAGUCAGUUCCAAUAUCGUAGUGCCUUUAGAGCAUCAGGUCAGGAGUCAGCACAACAGCAGGGCUCCCUGGGUGGUGUUUAUAAAACUGUCGUACAUGCUCUUUCGAAGCCGAAGGCAAAUGUUUCCCCACAGAGGCAGAACAGAAUGCCAGCAGAGGCUCCACUGAGGGAUCUGUACAGUCAUGUAAUGGGCUAUUUUGGAAGGAARGCUGCAGCUAAUAGAGAGGACAUGAGUCAAAAGCUGCACCCUAUUGAUAGUGAUAUUGACAGUAGCAAUACGAAUGUUCCUGACCUGAUGGAUGAAUUUAUAGCUGAGAGACUCCGCAGUGGUAACGCAYUGAAUGUAACAAGAAGAGGAAGCAGUCCUGGCAGCUUGGAAGUUCCUAAAGACCUUCCGGAUAUAUUGAACAAGCAGAACCAAAUGCGUCCUGUAGACGACCCAGGAGUGCCUUCCGAGUGGACGUCACCUGCCAGCGCGGGCAGCAGUGACCUCAUCAGCUCAGACAGCCACUCUGACUCCUUCAGCGCCUUCCAGUAUGAGAGCCGCAAAUUUGAAAAUUUCAGCUUUGGCACUGAGGCAGGGACGCCAGCUUCUACUGACAUUGAUGGAAUUUCAGGACAGCAACAGAGUGCUGAGGAACAAGAAGUGGCCAGUCUAACUACCCUCCACAUAGAUUCAGAAACAAGUAGUCUCAAUCAGCAACCAUUGUCUGCUGAAGCUGCAACUAUUACUGGCUCUGAAAGUGCUUCUCCAAUCCAAUCUGCUCUUGGAUCCCGAUCACAGACACCCUCUCCUGCCACUCUUCAUGCAGAUCAUAUUGAGCAGAAGGAUCUGCAACUGGAUGAGAAGCUCCACCACUCUGUUUUACAGACGCCAGAUGACCUAGAAACUAGUGAAUUCCCCUCAGAAUGUUGCAGUGUGAUGGCUGGGGGAACACUUACAGGAUGGCACGCAGAUGUUGCUACUGUGAUGUGGAGGAGGAUGCUUGGAAUUUUGGGAGAUGUCAACAGCAUCAUGGAUCCAGAGAUUCAUGCCCAAGUUUUUGAUUAUCUGUGUGAACUGUGGCAGAAUCUGGCCAAGAUAAGAGACAAUCUUGGUAUUUCAACAGAUAAUCUAACCUCACCAUCUCCCCCAGUUUUAAUUCCACCACUGAGAAUUCUAACACCAUGGCUCUUCAAGGCAACAAUGCUGACUGAUAAAUACAAACAAGGAAAGCUACAUGCGUAUAAACUUAUUUGUAAGACAAUGAAGCGAAGACAAGAUGUUUCUCCAAACAGGGAUUUUUUAACUCAUUUCUACAAUAUAAUGCACUGUGGACUUCUUCAUGUGGAUCAAGAUAUUGUCAAUACAAUCAUCAAGCACUGCUCUCCUCAGUUCUUUUCACUUGGUUUGCCUGGUGCUACCAUGCUUAUUAUGGAUUUCAUUGUAGCAGCAGGAAGAGUGGCUGCAUCUUCUUUCCUCAAUGCACCAAGAGUUGAAGCACAGGUUCUUUUAGGAUCUCUUGUCUGUUUUCCCAAUUUAUAUCAUGAACUACCAGCUCUUCACCCAAAUAUUCCUGACAUUGCUGUGUCUCAGUUUACAGAUGUUAAGGAACUCAUAAUUAAAACUGUGUUAAGUUCAGCAAGAGAGGAGCCAUCUGGUCCUGCACGAUGUGUUGCUCUUUGCAGCCUUGGUAUUUGGAUCUGUGAGGAGCUAGUUCAUGAAUCACAUCAUCCUCAGAUCAAGGAAGCAUUGAAUGUGAUUUGUGUUUCUUUAAAGUUUCCAAAUAAAACAGUAGCCCAAGUUGCCUGCAGUAUGCUGAACAUGCUGAUCCAUUAUGUACAUAGACUUCAACUGUAUCAAGCUGAUUCACCUUUAAGAAUUAUUCAAAUUCUGAUAGCAACUAUUACACAUCUGCUACCCAGUACAGAAGCUUCCUCUUAUGAGCAGGACAAGAGAUUGGUGGUUUCUUUACUUCUGUGCUUAUUGGAUUGGAUAAUGGCCUUGCCAUUAAAGACUUUGCUGCAACCUCUUCACACUGCAGGAGGAGAAAAUGAUAAGACUGAAAGAUCCGUUCUUAAUUGUAUAUAUAAGGUUCUGCAUGGUUGUGUCUAUGGGUCUCAGUGUUUCAGCAACCCUAAAUAUUUUCCUCUCAGCCUUUCUGAUCUGGCAUGUAUGGAUUAUGAUCCUUUUAUGCAUUUAGAAAGCUUAAAAGAACCAGAACCACUGCAUUCUCCAGACUCAGAGAGGUCUUCUAAACUUCAGCCAGUCACUGAAGUGAAAACUCAUAUGCAACAAGGAUUAAUUUCUGUUGCUGCUCGUACUGUGAUAACACAUCUAGUCAACCACUUAGGCCACUAUCCUAUGAGUGGAGGCCCUGCUAUGCUGACCAGUCAAGUGUGUGAAAACAAUGACAAUCCAUACAGUGAAAGUCCUGAGCUUUCUCCUGAACUUUUUGAGAACCCAAAUCUUCAAUUCUUUGUAUUAAAUAACACUUCCCUAGUGUCUUGCAUACAAAUCCAAGCAGAAGACGACAUGCCUGGGGGGGGACUGUCUGCUGGACUUGCAUCUGCUAAUUCAAAUGUUAGAAUUAUAGUGCGCGAUCUGUCUGGCAAAUACUCAUGGGACUCGGCCAUUUUGUAUGGACCAUCAUCUUUAUGUGCAUCUUCUCAACAAACAUCUUUUGCACUUUCAUUAGCUCAGCAAGAUAAACCAGAAGAUGCUCUUUCAUCUUUUGAACAUGUGGAGGAUGURUCUGCAAGGGAUGGAAUUACACUCCAAGUUAAAAGGAAAUUUAGAGACACUGUACCAACAUGGGAUACAAUUAGGGAUGAAGAAGAUGCUCUUGAUGAGCUGCUGCAGUAUUUAGGUGUUACAAGUCCUGAAUGCUUACAGAGAACUGGUGUUUCACUAAACAUCCCUGCUCCUCAACCAGUCUGUAUCUCAGAAAAGCAGGAGAACGAUGUCAUCAAUGCAAUUCUGAAACAGCACACAGAAGAGAGAGAGUUUGUUGAAAAGCAUUUCAAUGAUGUAAAUAUGAGGGCUAUGGAGCAGGAUGAGCCAACCUCACAAAAGCCACAGUCAGCAUUUUACUACUGUAGAUUACUUCUCAGUAUACUGGGAAUGAAUUCAUGGGACAAAAGAAGGAGCUUUCAUCUYCUGAAGAAAAAUGAGAAGUUACUUCGAGAACUCAGAAAUUUGGACUCAAGGCAAUGCCGAGAGACACACAAGAUUGCAGUGUUUUAUGUGGCUGAGGGACAGGAAGAUAAACACUCCAUUCUUACGAAUACUGGGGGAAGUCAAGCCUAUGAGGAUUUUGUAGCUGGUCUUGGCUGGGAGGUAAAUCUCACAAACCAUUGUGGCUUUAUGGGAGGACUGCAAAAAAACAAAAGCACUGGAUUGACCACUCCAUAUUUUGCUACCUCAACAGUAGAAGUAAUGUUCCAUGUGUCAACAAGAAUGCCUUCUGAUUCAGAUGACUCUUUAACAAAAAAACUAAGGCAUUUAGGAAAUGAUGAAGUACACAUUGUCUGGUCAGAGCAUACUCGAGAUUAUAGAAGAGGAAUAAUUCCAACAGAAUUUGGUGAUGUUCUUAUAGUUAUCUAUCCCAUGAAAAACCAUAUGUUCAGUAUCCAGAUCAUGAAAAAGCCCGAGGUUCCAUUUUUUGGUCCACUUUUUGAUGGUGCUAUUGUGAAUGGAAAAAUUCUGCCUAUUAUGGUUCGUGCAACAGCUAUAAAUGCAAGCCGUGCAUUGAAAUCAUUAAUCCCAUUAUACCAAAACUUUUAUGAGGAGAGAGCACGAUACCUGCAAACAAUUGUUCAACAUCAUCUAGAGCCUACAACMUUUGAAGAUUUUGCUGCUCAGGUUUUCUGUCCAGCACCUUAUCACCAUUUGCCCUCAGAGACCGAUCAUUAAAUAUCAGUUCUGUUUAUCUGAAGGAAUCUCAUUAAUAGGAUCUUGUGAUGCAUUUCAUGUCUGCGCAURUAUAUUCUCUCUCCAUACUACGAAACACGAUGUCCUGUCCUGGGAGCCACAUUCUUCUGGACCUUGCAUUGUGCAGUGGAACUGACCACGACAUCAGUGUCAGGAGCAGCCAGCAGCUUCCUAGGAUGGACAUGCAGCCCAGUGUGACCCAGCAUCAGAGUCAACAACCUGGCCCCACAUCUGCUGACUCUAAGCUUUCAUUUCAGCCCAGGGAAGCUGGGGAUGCUCUGGCAGUCCUGCUUGCAGCCUGAUCCCUGUUCGGAUCUGGAACUCUGAUACUCAGCUCCAGGACAGAGUACCUGGAGUAGCACUGAACCAUCUGCCUCCAGGCUGCUCUAGAGGCCACAAAUUCUAAAGCCUGAGGCAGRUAUAAAAUAACACUACCAGAAAGGUUACCCCAGGGCUUGUCGUUAGCCUGGAAAGCACUGGUUUCCAGUUCUAGCAGAGGCAGRCCUAUUGCCGCAGAUGACCCAAAUUUCUGAUGGACCCCGAUCCCAAGAAAGAGUCCACCAGCAGUGCUAUUAAGAAAACAGAUUCCUCUAAAUUUCCAGGGCCCUUGCAGWAGGUGGAUUUCUUGAAAAAGUACAGAGCAUUGAACUAUGCCAGGAGUGGUCCCUGUCUGGGAAUCCACAUGCAUUCAUCACCCCCAAGAUGACUCGGACAAAACCUUGUAGGGUCCCUGCCAGAUGUGUCCAUGUCAUCUUAACAUUUCUAGCCAGCUUCUAAGACUACAUCACAUUUUUUUAAUACAAAAUAUUUCGUGUAUGUAUAGGGCUUCUUUGAAUUAAAAAAAUUGACCAGACUAGGAAAAGAAAUUUUAGAUAUUAGACUUAAUUAUUUUAUGGAUCAUGAUCUUCAAGAUUUCAACUGCUGAAUAUGUUUAAUUUUAUAAAAUAUUCUAUACAUUUUUUCAUCUAAGAAAGAUCUUAGAAACUGUGAGGCUACWACAGCCCAUCACCAGGUGUUACCAUUUUGUUGUUGUGGUCCCACUGGACUUUUCUUUUUUUUUCAUUUCAGCUAUGAGAAUCAGAGCAAAUAGAGAAUAUUCCAUUCAGUAACAAACUGUAUUUUCUCAGAUGGACUUAUUUUACCAAAGGCUCAGACAUCGGCAGAAACUAUUUCCUUUUUUACUGUGACUGCUCUUCAAUACAGUGUGAUUGUGGCAGCUGCUGUUUUAUCUAGAAGCUUAGUUUGUCCUGUCAAAAUAUCUGACAAGUCCACCUUCCCAUGUUUAGGAACCUGACUAGUGUAGUAAAUGUGUACAUUUAAAGAAAUUGAGAUUUACCUGUACUUAAUCACAGAUUGCAAUUCAGUUGCCUCUGUGUUUUUUACCUUGUGCUGUUUCUGUUAAAUUGAGUAACUGCGAAUACUCUGCUAAACAGAGUAACUCAUCCUAUGCAGAUAUUGAGUGAACCAGAUCUCUGUGACACCAGAAUAGGUUGAGGGAACUGUCAAUGGUAAGCUCAAUUAUAUUGAAGGGCAUAUUGACCUCAUGAGGCUAAGRUUCUGAUCUUUAAAAUGUACUCAUGUCUUGGGUUUGCAUUUUCCUGUCUUYUUUUGUUCCCUUUCUUUCCACUAAGACUAGCACCUCAUUACAGCAAACUUUAUAAAGAGGUCCCUCUACAAUAGUCAUAGUAUUUUCCUUGUGAUAAAGGCAUCAGGCUUUUUGUCCCAACAAUCAUUCCUGUAUUUUCAAGCCUGCAUUCAGAACAAUUCUGCUACCCCAUUCCCAAAGUUAGUCGGGUUGCCACWGCACAAGCAGGGAAGCAGGGGAAUUGCUUCAGCCUUGCACAAUUAAAAAUCAAGUUCAACAGUUUGCAUUUUCUUCCACUGCUUCCUAGGUGCGGAACAUUGAAACUAAUAAUCCUUUUGGCCUCUUACCACCCCUUUACAGAUGAGAAUGAUGGUGCUUUUGUCACUGUAGAAGGAUCUGAGUAACGCUUGGUGGUGGUGGUUUGUGAUUGGAAGUGAAGCUGAAAUCCAGAAGUGAGAGCUUUGUGUCUGACAGGGCUGGAAGAAUUUCUCAUUAUCCCUUCUUCUGUUCAWACUUAGGAACCCUCUUCUUCUUUGCCAGAUCAGAGCAAAACCUCCAAACUUACCUACAUUUUCCAAAGAAUUCAUAUUGGAACAGCUGAAGCUGAAACCUUACACAUUUCUGAACKAUUGUACUAAAGUCAAACACUUGAGUGAAGGUACACUCAGCACUUUGAGACAGCUUCUGCCCAGAGACUCAGCCGGGAGAAACUCCAGCAGCAGCAACAGCACARGUGGAUGGAACA